GAAACAGGUGCUAAUACCGUAUAACACUAUUUUCCGCAUGGAAGAAAGUUGAAAGGCACUUUUGCGUCACUGAUGGAUGGACCCGCGGUGCAUUAGCUAGUUGGUGAGGUAACGGCUCACCAAGGCCACGAUGCAUAGCCGACCUGAGAGGGUGAUCGGCCACACUGGGACUGAGGCACGGCCCAGACUCCUACGGGAGGCAGCAGUAGGGAAUCUUCGGCAAUGGACGAAAGUCUGACCGAGCAACGCCGCGUGAGUGAAGAAGGUUUUCGGAUCGUAAAACUCUGUUGUUAGAGAAGAACAAGGAUGAGAGUAAAAUGUUCAUCCCUUGACGGUAUCUAACCAGAAAGCCACGGCUAACUACGUGCCAGCAGCCGCGGUAAUACGUAGGUGGCAAGCGUUGUCCGGAUUUAUUGGGCGUAAAGCGAGCGCAGGCGGUUUCUUAAGUCUGAUGUGAAAGCCCCCGGCUCAACCGGGGAGGGUCAUUGGAAACUGGGAGACUUGAGUGCAGAAGAGGAGAGUGGAAUUCCAUGUGUAGCGGUGAAAUGCGUAGAUAUAUGGAGGAACACCAGUGGCGAAGGCGGCUCUCUGGUCUGUAACUGACGCUGAGGCUCGAAAGCGUGGGGAGCGAACAGGAUUAGAUACCCUGGUAGUCC
rnacentral:rRNA from 1 species